AAAAGCUUGACAUGAGCCAGCAGUCCCAGAAGGCCAACGGCACCCUGGGCUGCAGCAACAGAGGAGUGGCCAGCAAGUUGAAGGAGGUGAUUGUCCCCCUCUGCUCUGCCCUUGUGAGGUCCCACCUGUAGUCCUGCAUCCAGGUCUGGG